CGACGGAAUAUUUGUGUCGGCCAAUCACAUUUUACAAAAUUUUCUUUCUGAGGAAAAUUUUCCUGAGUAGAAAUGGGCCUUUAUAGUCACGAAAACUACUUAUUGGUGGUUUGCAACCAAUGCCUGUAAUGAGAUUUAUAAGACAAAGAUGCGGCGGCCAUGUUGGAGAAAAUAGACUCCAAAUUCAAUAGCUACUAAUGAUAUUCUUUUGUUAGCGUUUUCCUAACAUGACCACUGUGCAAACCAAGGUUAUAGAAGAUUGCACUUAAUAUGUAGUAGUCUUCCAGAGGCUAUACAUCCUCCAGAAAAAUGUUACACUGCUUCGAAUCACUGAAAAAAAUGUGAAAUCCAUACUAUGAGAUUUGCAAUUGCACACUAAAUCCAUAGUAUAUCCAUACUAUUUCGAUACUAUAACCAUAGUAUGGAAAUAUACAGUUAUUAUGGAUAAUCAAAAAUCCGUUCUAUUUCCAAUAAACGUCCAUACAAUUUCCAUUCUAUGGAUUUUCAAACUUUUUUCCAGUGGAACUGAUGGUUCGCCAAUGACUCCUGACAACAUGACCCAAAAUCUGAUCAAGCUUUGAAACGUAGAACAUUCGUUGAAGCAUAUUUUCACAGACCUGCCAACACUCACGUUUUGUCGUGAGACUUUUUAAUAAAUUUAAACCAUAAUAAUAAGAAAAUCUUGGAAAUUUCGGGAAAUCUAACGGUUUUUAACAAAAUCUCAUGACUUUGUAAAAUACAUAAACUCACUAUACUUCUGCCACUGUGAGGUUGGCAUCAGUAGUAAAAGACCCUCAUCUGGUGGCGGAAGUAAUUAGUAUGCAAACUUAGGUGUCGGGA